UACGUAGGAGGCAAGCGUUGUCCGGAAUUACUGGGUGUAAAGCGCGUGUAGGUGGUGGGCCAAGUCUGUGGUGAAAUCGCCCGGCUCAACUGGGCGGGGUCCGUGGAAACUGGUCGACUGGAGGACGGUAGAGGCAGAUGGAAUUCCCGGUGUAGCGGUGGAAUGCGUAGAGAUCGGGAAGAACAUCAGUGGCGAAGGCGGUCUGCUGGGCCGUUGCUGACGCUGAGGCGCGACAGCGUGGGGAGCAAACAGG
rnacentral:rRNA from 1 species